AUUGAACGCUGGCGGCAGGCCUAACACAUGCAAGUCGAGCGGAUGAAGGGAGCUUGCUCCUGGAUUCAGCGGCGGACGGGUGAGUAAUGCCUAGGAAUCUGCCUGGUAGUGGGGGAUAACGUCCUGAAACGGGCGCUAAUACCUCAUACGUCCUGAGGGAGAAAGUGGGGGAUCUUCGGACCUCACGCUAUCAGAUGAGCCUAGGUCUGAUUAGCUAGUUGGUGGGGUAAAGGCCUACCAAGGCGACGAUCCGUAACUGGUCUGAGAGGAUGAUCAGUCACACUGGAACUGAGACACGGUCCAGACUCCUACGGGAGGCAGCAGUGGGGAAUAUUGGACAAUGGGCGAAAGCCUGAUCCAGCCAUGCCGCGUGUGUGAAGAAGGGCUUCGGAUUGUAAAGCACUUUAAGUUGGGAGGAAGGGCAGUAAGUUAAUACCUUGCUGUUUUGACGGUACCAACAGAAUAAGCACCGGCUAACUUCGUG
rnacentral:rRNA from 1 species